AACGAACGUUAGCGGUGUGGAUUAGGCAUGCAAGUCGAGCGCGAAAGCUUCCUUCGGGAAGUGAGUAAAGCGGCGAACGGGUGAGUAACACGUAACCAACCUGUCCCGGAGAUCGGAAUAACCACUGGAAACGGUGGGUAAUGCUGAAUGGUCCUGGCGGAUGGCAUCAUCUGCCAGGUAAACGGCUUCGGCUGUUCCGGGAGGGGAUUGCGGGCUAUUAGCUAGUUGGUGAGGUAAAGGCUCACCAAGGCGAUGAUGGCUAGCGGGUCUGAGAGGAUGAUCAGCCACACUGGGACUGAGACACGGCCCAG
rnacentral:rRNA from 1 species